AUGCAAGUCGUGCGAGAAAGUAUCUUCGGAUAUGAGUAGAGCGGCGGACGGGUGAGUAACGCGUAGGAAUCUACCUAGUAGAAGGGGAUAGCCCGAGGAAACUCGGAUUAAUACCGUAUACCUCCUUUGGGAGAAAGAGGGCCUCUCUUGAUGCUCUCGCUAUUAGAUGAGCCUGCGUAAGAUUAGCUAGUUGGUAAGGUAAUGGCUUACCAAGGCUACGAUCUUUAGCUGGUCUGAGAGGACGAUCAGCCACAUUGGGACUGAGACACGGCCCAGACUCCUACGGGAGGCAGCAGUGGGGAAUAUUGGACAAUGGGCGCAAGCCUGAUCCAGCCAUACCGCGUGUGUGAAGAAGGCCUUCGGGUUGUAAAGCACUUUAAGCAGGGAGAAAAAGCUAUAAGUUAAUACCUUAUAGCCGUGAUGUUACCUGCAGAAUAAGCACCGGCUAAUUCCGUGCCAGCAGCCGCGGUAAUACGGAAGGUGCAAGCGUUAAUCGGAAUUACUGGGCGUAAAGCGCGCGUAGGUGGUUUGUUAAGUUGGAUGUGAAAGCCCUGGGCUCAACCUAGGAACUGCAUCCAAAACUAACUCACUAGAGUACGAUAGAGGGAGGUAGAAUUCAUAGUGUAGCGGUGGAAUGCGUAGAUAUUAUGAAGAAUACCAGUGGCGAAGGCGGCCUCCUGGAUCUGUACUGACACUGAGGUGCGAAAGCGUGGGUAGCGAACAGGAUUAGAUACCCUGGUAGUCCACGCCGUAAACGAUGACAACUAGCUGUUGGGAGACAAUGUCUUUCAGUGGCGCAGCUAACGUUUUAAGUUGUCCGCCUGGGGAGUACGGCCGCAAGGCUAAAACUCAAAUGAAUUGACGGGGACCCGCACAAGCGGUGGAGCAUGUGGUUUAAUUCGAUGCAACGCGAAAAACCUUACCUACUCUUG
rnacentral:rRNA from 1 species